rnacentral:rRNA from 1 species
GACGAACGCUGGCGGCGUGCUUAACACAUGCAAGUCGAACGGAAAGGCCCUGCUUUUGUGGGGUGCUCGAGUGGCGAACGGGUGAGUAACACGUGAGUAACCUGCCCUUGACUUUGGGAUAACUUCAGGAAACUGGGGCUAAUACCGGAUAGGAGCUCCUGCUGCAUGGUGGGGGUUGGAAAGUUUCGGCGGUUGGGGAUGGACUCGCGGCUUAUCAGCUUGUUGGUGGGGUAGUGGCUUACCAAGGCUUUGACGGGUAGCCGGCCUGAGAGGGUGACCGGCCACAUUGGGACUGGGAUACGGCCCAGACUCCUACGGGAGGCAGCAGUGGGGAAUAUUGCACAAUGGGCGGAAGCCUGAUGCAGCAACGCCGCGUGCGGGAUGACGGCCUUCGGGUUGUAAACCGCUUUCGCCUGUGACGAAGCGCGAGUGACGGUAAUGGGUAAAGAAGCACCGGCUAACUACGUG